UUUUAAGGACACUGAGGGAUC
rnacentral:miRNA from 1 species